rnacentral:rRNA from 1 species
CACUGCCGAGAAAAGCCUCUAGAUAGAAAAUAGGUGCCCGUACCGCAAACCGACACAGGUAGUCAAGAUGAGAAUUCUAAGGUGAGCGAGCGAACUCUCGUUAAGGAACUCGGCAAAAUGACCCCGUAACUUCGGGAGAAGGGGUGCUCUUUAGGGUUAACGCCCAGAAGAGCCGCAGUGAAUAGGCCCAAGCGACUGUUUAUCAAAAACACAGGUCUCUGCUAAACCGUAAGGUGAUGUAUAGGGGCUGACGCCUGCCCGGUGCUGGAAGGUUAAGAGGAGUGGUUAGCUUCUGCGAAGCUACGAAUCGAAGCCCCAGUAAACGGCGGCCGUAACUAUAACGGUCCUAAGGUAGCGAAAUUCCUUGUCGGGUAAGUUCCGACCCGCACGAAAGGCGUAACGAUUUGGGCACUGUCUCAACGAGAGACUCGGUGAAAUCAUAGUACCUGUGAAGAUGCAGGUUACCCGCGACAGGACGGAAAGACCCCGUGGAGCUUUACUGUAGCCUGAUAUUGAAAUUCGGCACAGCUUGUACAGGAUAGGUAGGAGC